rnacentral:rRNA from 1 species
CCUACGGGGGGCAGCAGUGGGGGAUAUUGCACAAUGGGGGGAACCCUGAUGCAGCGACGCCGCGUGGGUGAAGAAGCGCCUCGGCGCGUAAAGCCCUGUCAGCAGGGAAGAAAAUGACGGUACCUGAAGAAGAAGCCCCGGCUAACUACGUGCCAGUAGCCGCGGUAAUACGUAGGGGGCAAGCGUUAUCCGGAUUUACUGGGUGUAAAGGGGGCGCAGACGGCGAUGCAAGCCAGGAGUGAAAGCCCGGGGCUCAACCCCGGGACUGCUCUUGGAACUGCGGGGCUGGAGUGCAGGAGGGGCAGGCGGAAUUCCUGGUGUAGCGGUGAAAUGCGUAGAUAUCAGGAGGAACACCGGUGGCGAAGGCGGCCUGCUGGACUGCAACUGACGUCGAGGCCCGAAAGCGUGGGGAGCAAACAGGAUUAGAUACCCUUGUAGUC